AUACCACGCUUCCAGGAAAAGCCACUAAGCUUCAGUUUGAAUUGAACCGUACCGCAAACCGACACAGGUGGGCAGGAUGAGAAUUCUAAGGCGCUUGAGAGAACUCAGGAGAAGGAACUCGGCAAAUUGAUACCGUAACUUCGGGAGAAGGUAUGCCCUCUAAGGUUAAGGACUUGCUCCGUAAGCCCUGGAGGGUCGCAGAGAAUAGGUGGCUGCGACUGUUUAUUAAAAACACAGCACUCUGCUAACACGAAAGUGGACGUAUAGGGUGUGACGCCUGCCCGGUGCUGGAAGGUUAAUUGAAGAUGUGAGAGCAUCGGAUCGAAGCCCCAGUAAACGGCGGCCGUAACUAUAACGGUCCUAAGGUAGCGAAAUUCCUUGUCGGGUAAGUUCCGACCCGCACGAAUGGCGUAACGAUGGCCACACUGUCUCCUCCUGAGACUCAGCGAAGUUGAAGUGGUUGUGAAGAUGCAAUCUACCCGCUGCUAGACGGAAAGACCCCGUGAACCUUUACUGUAGCUUUGCAUUGGACUUUGAAGUCACUUGUGUAGGAUAGGUGGGAGGCUUUGAAGCAGAGACGCCAGUCUCUGUGGAGCCGUCCUUGAAAUACCACCCUGGUGUCUUUGAGGUUCUAACCCAGACCCGUCAUCCGGGUCGGGGACCGUGCAUGGUAGGCAGUUUGACUGGGGCGGUCUCCUCCCAAAGCGUAACGGAGGAGUUCGAAGGUUACCUAGGUCCGGUCGGAAAUCGGACUGAUAGUGCAAUGGCAAAAGGUAGCUUAACUGCGAGACCGACAAGUCGAGCAGGUGCGAAAGCAGGACAUAGUGAUCCGGUGGUUCUGUAUGGAAGGGCCAUCGCUCAACGGAUAAAAGGUACUCCGGGGAUAACAGGCUGAUUCCGCCCAAGAGUUCAUAUCGACGGCGGAGUUUGGCACCUCGAUGUCGGCUCAUCACAUCCUGGGGCUGUAGUCGGUCCCAAGGGUAUGGCUGUUCGCCAUUUAAAGUGGUACGUGAGCUGGGUUUAAAACGUCGUGAGACAGUUUGGUCCCUAUCUGCAGUGGGCGUUGGAAGUUUGACGGGGGCUGCUCCUAGUACGAGAGGACCGGAGUGGACGAACCUCUGGUGUACCGGUUGUAACGCCAGUUGCAUAGCCGGGUAGCUAAGUUCGGAAGAGAUAAGCGCUGAAAGCAUCUAAGCGCGAAACUCGCCUGAAGAUGAGACUUCCCUUGCGGUUUAACCGCACUAAAGAGUCGUUCGAGACCAGGACGUUGAUA
rnacentral:rRNA from 1 species